AUUGAACGCUGGCGGCAGGCUUAACACAUGCAAGUCGAGCGGGGGAAGGUAGCUUGCUACCGGACCUAGCGGCGGACGGGUGAGUAAUGCUUAGGAAUCUGCCUAUUAGUGGGGGACAACAUCUCGAAAGGGAUGCUAAUACCGCAUACGUCCUACGGGAGAAAGCAGGGGAUCUUCGGACCUUGCGCUAAUAGAUGAGCAUAAGUCGGAUUAGCUAGUUGGUGGGGUAAAGGCCUACCAAGGCGACGAUCUGUAGCGGGUCUGAGAGGAUGAUCCGCCACACUGGGACUGAGACACGGCCCAGACUCCUACGGGAUGCAGCAGUGGGGAAUAUUGGACAAUGGGGGGAACCCUGAUCCAGCCAUGCCGCGUGUGUGAAGAAGGCCUUAUGGUUGUAAAGCACUUUAAGCGAGGAGGAGGCUACUCUAGUUAAUACCUAGGGAUAGUGGACGUUACUCGCAGAAUAAGCACCGGCUAACUCUGUGCCAGCCGCCGCGGUAA
rnacentral:rRNA from 1 species